rnacentral:rRNA from 1 species
UACGUAGGGCGCAAGCGUUGUCCGGAAUUAUUGGGCGUAAAGAGCUCGUAGGUGGUCUGUCGCGUCCGUUGUGAAAACUCGAGGCUCAACCUCGGGCUUGCAGUGGAUACGGGCAGACUAGAGUGCGGUAGGGGAGACUGGAAUUCCUGGUGUAGCGGUGGAAUGCGCAGAUAUCAGGAGGAACACCGGUGGCGAAGGCGGGUCUCUGGGCCGUAACUGACGCUGAGGAGCGAAAGCAUGGGGAGCGAACAGG